UUGCUCUUGUUUCCCUUCAGUCAUCGCAUAAAUCUUUCGCCUUUUACUAAAGAUUUCCGUGGAGGGGAAUACUGAAGAGUAUUUAAGCAAUUUUUUGAUAUCCCAGCAUCAUCGCUGGGGUU